UAGGGAAUCUUCCACAAUGGACGCAAGUCUGAUGGAGCAACGCCGCGUGAGUGAAGAAGGUUUUCGGAUCGUAAAGCUCUGUUGUUGGUGAAGAAGGAUAGAGGUAGUAACUGGCCUUUAUUUGACGGUAACCAACCAGAAAGUCACGGCUAACUACGUGCCAGCAGCCGCGGUAAUACGUAGGUGGCAAGCGUUGUCCGGAUUUAUUGGGCGUAAAGCGAGCGCAGGCGGAAGAAUAAGUCUGAUGUGAAAGCCCUCGGCUUAACCGAGGAACUGCAUCGGAAACUGUUUUUCUUGAGUGCAGAAGAGGAGGGUGGAACUCCAUGUGUAGCGGUGGAAUGCGUAGAUAUAUGGAAGAACACCAGUGGCGAAGGCGACUCUCUGGUCUGCAACUGACGCUGAGGCUCGAAAGCAUGGGUAGCGAACAGG
rnacentral:rRNA from 1 species